GCUGGGCAUGGUGGCGGGUGCCUGUAAUCCCAGCUACUUGGGAGGCUUAGGCGGGAGAAUCGCUUGAACCUGGGAGGCGGAGGUUGCAGUGAGCCGAGACCGUGCCACUGCACUCCAGCCUGGGCAACAGAGUGAGACUCCGCCUUAA
rnacentral:SRP_RNA from 1 species